rnacentral:tRNA from 1 species
GCAAUCGUGCCCGAGUGGUUAAGGCGAUGGCCUCGAAAUCCAUUGGGGUCUCCCCGCACAGGUUCGAAUCCUGUCGACUGCG